AUGAUUUGUUUGAUCACUUCCAAGGAGAACAAAUAGAACAUGAUGGCAAGCUUUUUAGUCUACAGACUGGGUAAGAGAACUCAUUAUGGCUCUCCAUCGGAGUGCAACAGACAUCAGCAUAGCAUACGAUCUAUCUUUCAUUAAACAGGUAUAGUGAACCUAGAUUUUUUACUCAUUUUCCUUUAAGGACCAGAAGAACUUUUGACUUCGGACCAUUUGCAGCAUAAACAGCUAACUGAGCACCAAAUUCUACUGAGGUCGGAAGACAGAGAAGCUUAUAAAAGUGUCUUUUCUCAAAAAUGAGCUUAUAAAAUUAACAUUAGUAGUGAUACAGUAUGGGGGUUUCUUCUUCCAACGGUCAGUUCGUGAUUCUGGCACAAACGUGUAUAAUGGAUCUGUGAACAGCCCUGAAAAUUUGACCAUGACAAAGAAUAGAAAACAAACAAGAUGGAACAAAAA